rnacentral:rRNA from 1 species
AUUGAACGCUGGCGGCAGGCCUAACACAUGCAAGUCGAACGAGUGGCGGACGGGUGUGUAAUGUCUGGGAAAUUGCCUGAUGGAGGGGGAGAACUAUUGGAAAAGGUAGCUAAUACCGCAUACCCUCAGAUGUGCCCAGAUGGGAUUGGCUAGUUGGUGGGGUAACGGCUCACCAAGGCGACGAUCCCUAGCUGGUCUGAGAGGAUGAUCAGUAACACUGGAACUGAGACACGGUCCAGACUCCUACGGGAGGCAGCAGUGGGGAAUAUUGGACAAUGGGCGAAAGCCUGAUCCAGCCAUGCCGCGGGUGUGAAGAAGGUCUUCGGAUUGUAAAGCACGUUAAGUUGGGAGGCGUUACCAACAGAAUAAGCACCGGCUAACUUCGUGCCAGCAGCCGCGGUAAUUC